rnacentral:rRNA from 1 species
AUUGAACGCUGGCGGAAUGCUUUACACAUGCCAGUCGAACGGCAGCACGGGGGCAGCCCUGGUGGCGAGUGGCGAACGGGUGAGUAAUACAUCGGAACGUGCCCGGUCGUGGGGGAUAACGUAGCGAAAGUUACGCUAAUACCGCAUACGAUCUGAGGAUGAAAGCGGGGGACCUUCGGGCCUCGCGCGAUCGGAGCGGCCGAUGUCAGAUUAGGUAGUUGGUGGGGUAAAGGCCUACCAAGCCGACGAUCUGUAGCUGGUCUGAGAGGACGACCAGCCACACUGGAACUGAGACACGGCCCAGACUCCUACGGGAGGCAGCAGUGGGGAAUUUUGGACAAUGGGCGCAAGCCUGAUCCAGCCAUUCCGCGUGCAGGACGAAGGCCUUCGGGUUGUAAACUGCUUUUGUACGGAACGAAAAGGCUCUGGCUAAUACCUGGGGCUCAUGACGGUACCGUAAGAAUAAGCACCGGCUAACUACGUG